GCAUAUCAAUAAGCGGAGGAAAAGAAAAUAACAAUGAUUCCCCUAGUAACGGCGAGUGAAGGGGGAAUAGCUCAAAUUUUAAAUCUGCUAGGUUUUACUUAUCAGAAUUGUAAUUUGAAGAAGCGUUUUCCGCGUCUCGGUUGGCCCAAAUCCUUUGGGAUGAGGUAUCAUGGAGGGUGAGAAUCCCGUUCGGUUGACCUCAUGACGUUCUACGAUACGCUUUCUAAGAGUCGAGUUGUUUGGGAUUGCAGCUCAAAAUGGGAGGUAAAUUUCUCCUAAGGCUAAAUAUCGGCGAGAGACCGAUAGCGAACAAGUACCGUGAGGGAAAGAUGAAAAGAACUUUGAAAAGAGAGUAAAAUAGUACGUGAAAUUGUUGAAAGGGAAACGAUUGAAGUCAGUCGUACCGACGAGAAAUCAACUUAUCGUGUGCGAACUUGUGGGCGUGCGUGAGUUUCGGCCUCGCUGUUUGCAUGUUUGUGCGUUUUGGGUGUACUUUUUCGUAUGGUAGGCCAACAUCAGUUUCGAUUACUAUAAAAUGACCGGCGGAAUGUAGCUUCGAUUUCGGUUGAAGUGUUAUAGCCUCUGGUAGAUGUGGUGAUUGGGACUGAGGAUUGCAACGAAUAUCCUUUGGGCUAUCCGUCUGAUCUCUGAAAGUUGCUCAGGUGCCGAAAGCGUGCUUACGGUCAUCUAAGUUGACGGUCAAUAGGUUAGAACGUGAUUACAUUCGUUAAGGAUGUUGACGUAAUGGCUUUAAACGAC
rnacentral:rRNA from 1 species